rnacentral:rRNA from 1 species
AUUGAACGCUGGCGGCAUGCCUUACACAUGCAAGUCGAACGGCAGCACGGGUGCUUGCACCUGGUGGCGAGUGGCGAACGGGUGAGUAAUAUAUCGGAACGUACCUUAUUGUGGGGGAUAACGCAGCGAAAGCUGUGCUAAUACCGCAUAAUCCCUAAGGGGGAAAGCGGGGGACCGUAAGGCCUCGCGCAAUUAGAGCGGCCGAUACCUGAUUAGCUAGUUGGUGAGGUAAAGGCUCACCAAGGCAACGAUCAGUAGCUGGUCUGAGAGGACGAUCAGCCACACUGGGACUGAGACACGGCCCAGACUCCUACGGGAGGCAGCAGUUGGGAAUUUUGGACAAUGGGGGCAACCCUGAUCCAGCAAUGCCGCGUGAGUGAAGAAGGCCUUCGGGUUGUAAAGCUCUUUUGUCAGGGAAGAAACAGCAGCUCUAACACAGUUUGCGAAUGACGGCACCUGAAGAAUAAGCACCGGCUAACUACGUGCCAGCCGCCGCGGUAACAC